AAAACGAUUCACAGUAUGUCAAUGUAGUUACUUUUGAGGUUGAAUAAUUCUGUGAGGUUUGCCAUUGUUUGCGCCGACUAAACUACUUCUGCUGCACUCGUUCUUCUUUUGAUUAUAACAAGAGUGCCCAGGCAUCAGUGUGAAUUUGACACAGCGCCAUCUAUGGGAAUGGCGAGCUAAACUCAUUUCAGGACAAUAGUAUACACGCCAUUACAAAA